UCCCCUUUCUCUAUAGCAGCCGCCACCUCUACUCUCUCCUCUCCAUUCGCGCUGGCGAGAGCAGCCACCGGCGACGCCCGUCUACUCUUCUACGCUCCUCUCCCGUUGCUCUUUCUCUCUCCUCCCUCCUUCUCCUCUCUCACCCCUCUCUCCACUCGCGUCUCCUCAUCCCUAGCGAGAGCAGCAGCAGCUCCAGCGAGCUGCACCAGGCGGCGCCGCUUUUUUCUCCUCUCCUUUUUUCCCUCCUCUCCUUUCUCUCCUCCCCUCUCCUCCUUUGCUCCAUCCUCCCUUCUCUCUUUCUUUGCCGAUACAGCAGCGCCAAAUGAGCAGCAAGGACCAGCACCUCUAGUGCUCCGACAAACAGCAGCAGCAGACGAGAAUAAGCAGUGAACAACAAAUGAUGGACUGAGGCGAGUCCCUCUCUUCUACGCUUCAUUUUUUCGGCAGAGCUAUGAGGUUUUUCUAAUUUUUGGGAUGGCGGAUCUUAAUGGAUCCGUCCAGUUACUUUCUCUUAACUAAACCCGUUUUUUUAAAAAUGAAUUUUCCUAACUUGAUUACGAAAAACUUCAUCUUGUAUGCUUACCUUAGGUAAAUGACAAUCACUUGCCAUUUAUUAUAUCUUGAUUUUUGUGAUGAUGAUCAUGCUCUUACUUGUGAUGAUCGGAUUUUUUUGAAUGUGCAUUAUUCUAACCUUGUCGAAUUUUUUGUUCAAAGUUCGUGUUAGAAUGUCAAUAUUUCCUUUAGCAAUAUGUUCACAUUAUUACUUCCUUAACUUUUGAAUAUUGGUCUUGAUGAUUCCUUCUUGUUAAGUGUCUGAGAAAAUUGCUAUUACUAGACUGCUUUCUUUUACAGUUUAGAGUCGUCUCCUUCUCUGGUAAAAACAAAUAAAUAAAAUAGAAUAAUGUUGUGCUAUUUUAGUAUAUGAAAUCAUAUUAUGGUAGGUGAUUCGGAUCCAAAUUGUACUUUUCCUUUAAAUAACCACUCUUUCACUUGGUAUUAUAUAUUGUUUAAAUUAUGAGUUGUCUUGCCUUAGUUAAAAGGUAGACAGAUCUUUUAUGGUAAACAUAUUCCAUAAAAAGGAGUUAAUUUUAUAUUAAUUGAUUCAUUUACUUAAAUGUAUUUUAUGGAUAUGUUAUUGAAAGAAUUAUUUGUAUAAGGAAAUAUUUUGUGCAGAUUUCACUAAUUUGAUUAAGGGAGCAUAUUUUCCAUAUUUUGCUACUGAUUGGUUUUUCCUUUUUGUUGGCCCUCUCCUCCAUUACAUAAAUAGACCCUUGCUAAACUCGUUCGCUCACUUUUAAUACAAGUUCUCUCAUUACUCUCGACUCUAUCUUCCAUCUUGCUCAUACUUUAAAAUACUUUAAAUAUUCCUCUCCUAUUCUUUAAAAAGUAAGAACUCUUGAAUCAUCCUUUCGACCAUUUCUUGUUGUGUUGUUGUUGUGGAUCAGAACCUUGUUUAAUACUUCAUUGCUGAUAAAAUUUUUUGCGUAAUUGGUUAGCCUUCUUUACUAUUCUAAAAUCUCGUUUUUGCAAAACUAUCAUUGUUGUUGUUGGAAACAAAGGAAGCAUCCAAGAUAUUUUUCUUAUCCUUUCUCCCUAUGUGUGGUAACAUGUCUUCAUCUAUGCUUUGUACCUUUUACUUAUUAUCUAUGUUGUUUAUAUAUAUACAUAUGAAAGUAAUUUGUUACUAUUAGUAUAUUACAACUAUUUACUCAUCGUAUAUGCUUUAUUACAUCUUCUACUAGGUUUUGAACUUAUAGUUCAAUAUGAUGAAGAUUUGCCUUGAAGAAAUUGUGGACGAAGCCUCGUUCAUUUUAUUGUUAUAUAUAUAUAUCUUUAUUUGUUCUUUAUUUUUACUUGUAAUGCUUGUAUAACUCGUUAACUCAAUAUAUGUGAAAUAAGUUUGGGGGAUCGUCUAAGGGAAGGGGUAUUAUGUGUUACUUAUAAUUUUGUCGCAAAAUCUUAUUUGAUUAAUAAAGCUAGAUUUAAAAUUAAAUAUAAUAAAAAAAUUUUAUUGAUUGAUCACUUAUUUAAUCUUGUGUAUUUUAGUACUUGAAACUAAUUUGGUAUUACUAUUAAUCAAUUUUCGUUCCGCAUAUCCUUUAGGUGGUAAUACUAAUAAAUAAAAUAACAUCUUGUCAUUAAUUUGUUUUAAAUGUUAUUCAUACAUUUAGAAUCCAUGCCUAUUGGAUUUAACUAAAUAUUUGCAUAAAUGCGCGUAAGUGUUCAUCAAUUUGGUUUGUCAUUAGAAGUCAUGCCAUAGGAUUUAACUAAUAAAAUCAAGGUCAUUUAAUUUGUCGAAAUAAAUUUUUAGUAUGUUAAGUAAUUGAAAUCAAUGUGCUACACUUUUUUUUUAAUGUUAAAUAAUUUCUGCAUUUAUAAUUUUCUUCUACCCAUAUUAAAAUUAAUUCAUAAACUAUUCUUUGUAUGCUAAAUCUACUCAAAUCAUCUGUUUGCAUUAAAUAUUGCUCAAAGGUUAUUUUCUGCAUUUGAACAUUCCCUUGUUACAUAAAUCAGUUGGUAAUUUUCUGCACGUUCACUUAAAUUUUAAAACUUUAAAUGCUUGUUGCCCCAAUUAACUUUAUUAGUUUCUUCAUUGUUUGGCUACUUAAAAAAUAAAUGGAUGAAUUUUCGGCAUAUUACAAUAUUAAUUGUCGAAUUUAAUUUGUCCUUCACUGAUCUCCAUGAUAAAAAUGUUUUUGCAUGUGAUCAAUUUGCUAUUGUCCGUAAAAAAUAUUUUUGCAUCAGUAAUAAAUUUAUUGUCGUUCUUAAAAUAAUUUUCCGCCUUAAACAAAAUAAAAUCCUUUUGCCUUGAAUAAAAUUUUUCUGCCUUAAUAAUUAAACCGACUAGUAUUUUAAAAUAUAUAUGCAUGUGGGAUCACUUCUUUGCUACUUAGAAUUAAGAGAAAAAACCUUUUUAUUAAUUUUUGCUCACCUUAAAUCGAUUGAAUAUUGAAAUCUGUAUACAUGUCAUUAUGUGUUGUUUGCAAGCAUGUCUAAUUAAAAUUUAGAAGGCCAAAUUGAAACCUACCAUGCUAAAAUGACCGUCUUGUUUGUCUUGUUUAUUUGACUUGGUGUCUAGGAGGAACUUAUAUUCUAUUUUGUCUAAACUCACCCUUAAGACUCCAAUGUCUCUUGGACAAUCAAGUUGGGUCGAUUAGGUACCUUUUAGGUACGAAAUGCAUGUGGUGGUAGGGUAGGGGUAGUUGGCCCUACGGAGAUGAUGACAUAGACUCAGGCUUGAAAGACAAACCUUGAUUUUGUCAGUCCCUAUACGGCAGCCUAUCGAAAAAAAUAAAAAGAAAGUCAAGUGUUGAUCCAAAAAGUCUCUUAGAGUCUCCCUUCCGUUUAUACCUUUAUUUUUUUUUUUAUUAUAUUUAUUUUUUGGGGUUGAAAUAAGUUUGUUUUCUUAUUUAUUUGUCUCCUUUCUAUCCCCUCGCUUAUCUUUUUUUUAAAUGCUUAGUAUAUGUACAUCUCUUAGUCUCGCAUGCGUAAUUCUUAAUUAAAAUAAGAGUGAUAUCGUAAUUGUUUAAUAUUAUAUUAUCACAUAAUCUUGCAUGUUAUCUAAUUAAUAAAGUAUCUUUAAUUAUUCAAUAAUUCUUAUCACUUAGGCUUCACAUGUUUAAUUCAUAAUAAAUUAAUCUUUCUUGUUUAAUAUUAUGUUGUCACUUAGCGAGCAUGCUAAUUAAUUAACUAAUAAAUGAAAUGACCUUAUUUUCUACUUGUAACCGCCACACAGAGGGGAAAGUUUGCAAAGUCGUGAUCAAGAAGGAGGAGAAACGGGGCCCUAGUGGAAGCAAGGAGGCAAAGAUCAGCGUUAGCAACUGGACCUCGAAUCCAUCCCGACCUCGUCAAGAAUCUGGAGAGUAAAGCAACCUACGCAAAAACAGCUCCAAUAUCGCUCUAAGUACAACAAAUCGCAACUUGAAGGCAAGUUUUCCAACAAGAGGAAUGCCCAAGCUAUCGUUCGCCCUAAAGCAACUGUUGUGGUGGCAAAUUAUAUUCUGCACGAUAUUGCAUCAGUUGAACCUACGCUCGAUAUCUCAUUAUGCUCAAAGAAAUGCAUCAUUAUAUUAUCCUCCAG
rnacentral:lncRNA from 1 species